CCUACGGGAGGCAGCAGUGAGGAAUAUUGGUCAAUGGACGAGAGUCUGAACCAGCCAAGUAGCGUGAAGGAUGACUGCCCUAUGGGUUGUAAACUUCUUUUAUAUGGGAAUAAAAUGUUCCACGUGUGGGAUUUUGUAUGUACCAUAUGAAUAAGGAUUGGCUAACUCCGUGCCAGCAGCCGCGGUAAUACGGAGGAUCCGAGCGUUAUCCGGAUUUAUUGGGUUUAAAGGGAGCGUAGGUGGAUUGUUAAGUCAGUUGUGAAAGUUUGCGGCUCAACCGUAAAAUUGCAGUUGAAACUGGCAGUCUUGAGUACAGUAGAGGUGGGCGGAAUUCGUGGUGUAGCGGUGAAAUGCUUAGAUAUCACGAAGAACUCCGAUUGCGAAGACAGUUCACUGGACUGCAACUGACACUGAGGCUCGAAAGUGUGGGUAUCAAACAGGAUUAGAUACCCCAGUAGUC
rnacentral:rRNA from 1 species